GACGAACGCUGGCGGCGUGCUUAACACAUGCAAGUCGAACGAAAUUAAAAAAUUAUCAUUGAGCUCUCCGAUGAGGCGGGAGCCAAGCGUCGUGACCGCGCAGCGGGCACCACGCGUUCAACAAGUGCAACACCAAGUCGAAGGGUUGAAUGGUAAUUUUUUAAUUUAGUGGCAAACGGGUGAGUAACACGUAGACAACCUGCCGACAGGAUGGGGACAACAUUCCGAAAGGAAUGCUAAUACCGAAUGAAGCGGAGGAGAGGCAUCUCUCUUCCGUGAAAGAUGGCCUCUUUUUAUGCUAUCACCUGUUGAUGGGUCUGCGUCUGAUUAGCUAGUUGGUGAGGUAACGGCUCACCAAGGCGACGAUCAGUAGCCGGUCUGAGAGGAUGAACGGCCACAUUGGGACUGAGACACGGCCCAGACUCCUACGGGAGGCAGCAGUGGGGAAUCUUCCGCAAUGGGCGCAAGCCUGACGGAGCAACGCCGCGUGAGUGAAGAAGGUCUUCGGAUCGUAAAGCUCUGUUGACGGGGACGAACGUGCGGAGUGCGAAUAGUGCUCUGUAAUGACGUACC
rnacentral:rRNA from 1 species